rnacentral:rRNA from 1 species
CCUACGGGAGGCAGCAGUGGGGGAUAUUGCACAAUGGGGGAAACCCUGAUGCAGCGACGCCGCGUGUGGGAAGACGGUCCUCUGGAUUGUAAACCACUGUCCCCAGGGACGAAAAUGACGGUACUUGGGGAGGAAGCUCCGGCUAACUACGUGCCAGCAGCCGCGGUAAUACGUAGGGAGCGAGCGUUGUUCGGAAUUACUGGGUGAAAAGGGAGCGUAGGCGGGGAUGCAAGUUGGGUGUCAAAACUACCGGCUAAACUGGUAGUCGCACUCGAAACUGCAGCUCUUGAGUGAAGUAGAGGCAGGCGGAAUUCCUGGUGUAGCGGUGAAAUGCGUAGAUAUUAGGAAGAACACCAGUGGCGAAGGCGGCCUGCUGGGCUUUUACUGACGCUGAGGCUCGAAAGUGUGGGGAGCAAACAGGAUUAGAUACCCCAGUAGUC